rnacentral:rRNA from 1 species
ACAAUGGAGAGUUUGAUCCUGGCUCAGGAUGAACGCUAGCGGCAGGCUUAACACAUGCAAGUCGAGGGGC